GAACUGAAGAGUUUGAUCAUGGCUCAGAUUGAACGCUGGCGGCAGGCCUAACACAUGCAAGUCGAGCGGAUGAGUGGAGCUUGCUCAUGAUUCAGCGGCGGACGGGUGAGUAAUGCCUAGGAAUCUGCCUGGUAGUGGGGGACAACGUUUCGAAAGGAACGCUAAUACCGCAUACGUCCUACGGGAGAAAGCAGGGGACCUUCGGGCCUUGCGCUAUCAGAUGAGCCUAGGUCGGAUUAGCUAGUUGGUGGGGUAAAGGCCUA
rnacentral:rRNA from 1 species